rnacentral:rRNA from 1 species
UACGGGGGGGGCAAGCGUUGUUCGGAAUUACUGGGCGUAAAGGGCUCGUAGGUGGCCAACUAAGUCAGACGUGAAAUCCCUCGGCUUAACCGGGGAACUGCGUCUGAUACUGAUUGGCUUGAGUGUGGGAGAGGGAUGCGGAAUUCCAGGUGUAGCGGUGAAAUGCGUAGAUAUCUGGAGGAACACCGGUGGCGAAGGCGGCUUCCUGGGCCGUUCCUGACGCUGAUGCGCGAAAGCCAGGGGAGCGAACGGG